rnacentral:rRNA from 1 species
AACGAACGCUGGCGGCAGGCCUAACACAUACAAGUCGAGCGAGGACUUCGGUCCUAGCGGCGGACGGGUGAGUAACGCGUGGGAACGUGCCCCUUGGUACGGAAUAGCCCCGGGAAACUGGGAGUAAUACCGUAUGAGCUCUACGGAGGAAAGAUUUAUCGCCAAGGGAUCGGCCCGCGUUGGAUUAGGUAGUUGGUGGGGUAAUGGCCUACCAAGCCGACGAUCCAUAGCUGGUUUGAGAGGAUGAUCAGCCACACUGGGACUGAGACACGGCCCAGACUCCUACGGGAGGCAGCAGUGGGGAAUCUUAGACAAUGGGCGCAAGCCUGAUCUAGCCAUGCCGCGUGAGCGAUGAGGGCCUUAGGGUUGUAAAGCUCUUUCAGCUGGGAAGAUAAUGACUGUACCAGCAGAAGAAGCCCCGGCUAACUCCGUGCCAGCCGCCGCCGUAAUAC